rnacentral:rRNA from 1 species
UACAGAGGGGGCAAGCGUUGUUCGGAAUUACUGGGCGUAAAGGGCGCGUAGGCGGCCUGUUAAGUCGAACGUGAAAUCCCCGGGCUCAACCCGGGAACUGCGUCCGAUACUGGCAGGCUUGAAUCCGGGAGAGGGAUGUGGAAUUCCCGGUGUAGCGGUGGAAUGCGUAGAGAUCGGGAAGAACAUCGGUGGCGAAGGCGGUCUGCUGGGCCGUUGCUGACGCUGAGGCGCGACAGCGUGGGGAGCAAACAGG